AUGGAAACAGCAGUUCCCGUACGAUCACCGAAAUUAAACAACGUCAACCCUGGUCAGUACUUAGAUAGGUGACCGCUUGAGAAUACCAAGUGCUGCAAG